ACAAUAGCACAUUUAUGGCUGAUACAUAAACAGCAAGAGGUGUAAAAAGACACGGUCCACAUGUCAAAAUAGUACUCCACGGAUGCCAUGUGAUAGAACAUGUGAACUUAACCCCCAAGCUUCAAGGGGAUGGACACCUAUCAACAGCGGACAAAAUAACCUUGUGGCUAAUGAAAUUGCCAUAGAGAUGGGAGAUGCCAAUCAGUGUCAGUGCCAGCCUCAGAAGACCUUGGGAAGCAAUUUCAUCUCUCACUUCACUCUUCAAAUUCACUAGAGGAAGAGAUUCUUUGAAUUUUGUAUUUUAUACUGAGCCUUGAGUAUUAGUAGCAACAGUUGUGAUACGCUAGGUGUACUGUACAUUUACACAGCCUCAAGGUUGAGAUCGACCAUUACUGAAGCUUUUAAUUGUAUUGACAUUUAGUGGAAUUGUCGAGUAACAAUUCAGUAAGAAUUUUCCCUC